UGUCCAAUGCGGGAAUCGAACCCGGGUCGUAGUGGUCGAAAACCAAACGUUUUAACAAACCUUCCACCAAACCCACCAGAC